CCCAGACUCCUACGGGAGGCAGCAGUGAGGAAUAUUGGUCAAUGGGCGCGAGCCUGAACCAGCCAAGUCGCGUGAGGGAUGAAGGAUCUAUGGUUCGUAAACCUCUUUUAUAAGGGAAUAAGGUGCGGGACGCGUCCCGCUUCGCAUGUACCUUAUGAAUAAGGAUCGGCUAACUCCGUGCCAGCAGCCGCGGUAAUACGGAGGAUGCGAGCGUUAUCCGGAUUUAUUGGGUUUAAAGGGUGCGCAGGCGGAGGUGCAAGUCAGCGGUCAAAUUGCGGGGCUCAACCCCGUACUGCCGUUGAAACUGCAUCCCUUGAGUGCGCGAGAAGUAUGCGGAAUGCGUGGUGUAGCGGUGAAAUGCAUAGAUAUCACGAAGAACUCCGAUUGCGAAGGCAGCUUACUAAACUGCCACUGACAUUGAUGCUCGAAAGUGUGGGUAUCAAACAGGAUUAGAUACCCUGGUAGC
rnacentral:rRNA from 1 species